GUGGGGAAUAUUGCACAAUGGGGGAAACCCUGAUGCAGCGACGCCGCGUGAGUGAAGAAGUAUUUCGGUAUGUAAAGCUCUAUCAGCAGGGAAGAAGAAAGACGGUACCUGACUAAGAAGCCCCGGCUAACUACGUGCCAGCAGCCGCGGUAAUACGUAGGGGGCAAGCGUUAUCCGGAUUUACUGGGUGUAAAGGGAGCGUAGACGGCGGAGCAAGUCUGAAGUGAAAGCCCCGGGCUUAACCCGGGAACUGCUUUGGAAACUGUACUGCUGGAGUGCUGGAGAGGUAAGCGGAAUUCCUAGUGUAGCGGUGAAAUGCGUAGAUAUUAGGAGGAACACCAGUGGCGAAGGCGGCUUACUGGACAGUCACUGACGUUGAGGCUCGAAAGCGUGGGGAGCAAACAGG
rnacentral:rRNA from 1 species